GAGGCGGCCUCAGUGGGGGCUCCGCUCGGCACUUGGGCUUCGUCCCCGGCCCGUGGGGUGCAGCUGUUCCCACGCCAGCCACGCCGAGCAUCCACCCUGCCCGCGGUGUGGCCUCCGCCUCCCCCAGCCUCGCCUCCCUGCCACCCACUGGGGCUGUGGGGCUGGGAGGGUCGGAGAGCGGCCGCCGGCGUGGAGGCAGCACAGUGGCACUGAAUGAGCUGGCCGCUUCCAGUGGACGCGGUGUCCUGCUCGGCCAUGGGGGCCACGUGGAGCCCCCAUCACGGAGGUGGCCGACCCUCAGCCCCAGGAGCCAGGGAGGCUCUGGCCACCUCACCACACCUAUAAGCUCCGGGCCACCUGUGGGGGUCUCUGUGCCCCCACAGCAGAGGCUUGGCGUCUCCCCACUGCCCUCAGGAUCCUCUGCUCCCCUCUCCUGGUGGCGGCAGGCCUUGGGCUCCCAGCCUGCGCCUUCCCUAGAGCUGGGGCCUGUGCCCGAGUCCACGCAGGGUGGGGGUGGCGCUUAGUUGUCGCUCUGGGGACCCGUGGGCUCGAGAUAUGGGGGAGGGGGCACAGAGGGCACACGACGGGUGCUGCAGGGUGGACCCCUCAGGGGCAGAGUGGAUGCAGCUGGGCCCAGGGCUGCACGUCCUGACAGCAGCGUGGUGCUGGGUCCUCAGGACACCUGGGAGUGGACACCGCUGGGACAGGGCCCAGAACGUACGGUGGGGUCUGCUCAGCCUGGUGGCAUGCAGGGCUCUGGGGACGGACGUGCAACGCCCUCUGGCAGAGGCGCAGUGAACUUGGAGGACACAGCCCAGCCUCAGUGGGGCGGCAGGUGGAGCGGGUUAGGGUUAGGCCUGGCCACAGGAUGAGGGUGGAGGGCUGGACUGUGGGGAGCCCAGGCCGUCCUUCUGCAGAGACGGUGGAGGUGGGUGGUGCUGGCUGAGCCCUGGACAGCCGGGAAGGAGCCCUGGGGACCAGGGUGGUGGCCUGGGGUGGAUGGGCAGGUGUGCCAGAGGCUCUCGCAGGGAGAAGGGCCUCCUCCGCAGGGAGAUGAGAUCAGCGGUUCAGUGGGGCUGGGGUGGGCGGCGGAGCCUCCGAGGGACAGCAGGGCCGCUGCCUGUGUCCUCGCGCUCCUGAUGGACCGAGGGCCUCCAGCCAGCAGCGAGCAAGGCUCGCUUCAGCUCUGACUCACUUGCACCAAAAGGAAGUGGCCAUGGCAGCCCUGAGCCCACGGGGGACCCGUGGCACCCCAUCCCAGCCACACUCACUGGAAGUUCACUUUGUCCACCUGGAACCGUGUCUCGAAGAUGCCCGAGAUGAUUUGGUCCCAAGUGGACCAGGAGGUCCUGCCGUCACAGAGCGGGCAGCCAGCACGUCGGGCCGGCGUCUUUUUGUGUUCUUCCACUGGGAAUCUACAGUCUGACCUUGGGGACAUGAGGUGGCCCUGUGUCUCCGCCGAUCAGGGACAGUCUAGGACGCAGCCCCGGGGAAGCUGCAAGACAGAGCGCGGUCAGGGGCCACAGCUCUCAGGGCACUGUCCCGGGCUGGGGCUCCCGAACAGGACACCCACAGAGG